rnacentral:misc_RNA from 1 species
GAUCAGGCAAUCUCUGUCAUGGCCAAAUCUGGGUUUGCAGAGCUGAUUGACUUCAACCCUAUUCGUGCUACUGAUGUGCAACUUCCUGCUGGUGGGACUUUUGUUAUAGCCCAUUCUCUAGCUGAAUCACAGAAAGCAGUCACUGCUGCCACAAAUUAUAAUAACAGAGUGGUGGAAUGCCGACUUGCUUCUAUUGUUCUAGGCAUAAAGCUUGGGAUGAAACCAGAAGAAGCAAUAAAAAAAGUGAAUACUUUAUCUGAUGUGGAAGGGCUGUGUCUUUCAUUUGCUAAGGAGCGUAACUCUUCAGAUCCUGUGCUUGCAGUCAAGGACCUGUUGAAGGAGGAACCCUAUACAGCUGAAGAAAUUGAACAAAUCACUGUGGAAAACCUGCCGUCCGUUUUAGGCAACUCUCCAACUUCAUUGGACGUUUUAAAAGCUGCCAAGCAUUUCAAGUUGUAUCAGCGAGCGUCCCACGUGUACUCUGAAGCCAGGCGGGUCUAUGCUUUCAAGGAUACAGUUUCAUCAAAUUUAAGUGAGGAAGACAAGCUUAAGAAACUCGGUGAUCUUAUGAAUGAUAGCCACUACAGCUGUAGCGUUCUUUACGAAUGCAGCUGUCCCGAGUUGGAGGAACUCGUAAAGAUAUGCCGGGACAAUAAUGCUCUUGGAGCCAGGCUAACUGGAGCAGGAUGGGGAGGCUGUGCAGUCGCUCUCGUAAAAGAGGCCAUUGUUCCCGAGUUCAUUCUUAAUCUGAAGGAAAAAUUCUACAAAUCGAGGAUCGAACGAGGGGUCGUCGACAAGAAUGACCUUGGUCUCUAUGUCUUUGCUUCCAAGCCAUCGAGUGGAGCUGCCAUCUUCCAGUUUUAAUAGUCAAAUUCCUUGGGAGGUUUUGUUUGGAGGGUUUCUUUGCCCAACCCCAACCCCAACCCCAGGAGGUAAUAAGUGAGUGUUAUAUCAAUUUUCCAACUUUUGGUUUUAGAAUUGUGUGGACAUUUCAUACACAAUCAUUCAGCUCAGAACUCGUUCUCCUAUUCUUUGCCUAUAAAUAAAGGAAUGUGUAACCUGGAAAAACGAGCUUAUUGUGGAAUGAAAC